UUUUGGAUUCACAAUCACCACAGCUAACAAAGAAUAUACGUGAUGUGUGAUUCAGAAGAAGACAAAUUAGCCUGAAGUCUCCACCCUGACGAAAACUGGAUUUUAAAUUAGUCCUUACUGCCAGCUCAUGUCUCUUCAAGUUUUAUCCAGAUGCUGCCAGAAUUACAGAGAUCUCCAGCAUCUUGUUUUAAUCAUAUGGGAGACGGUGAUGUCAUUACACAUGCGCGGGAUAGUGGGGAGACCAUUUUGCUUUCUGCUGAAGACUUGGUAAGGUGUUGGAUUUGGAUCCUCAUGAGGCUGGGCGUGGUGAGGAAAGAUUUCCACGAGUGAAGAAAUCAACGCUGGGUACCGUGGCUUAUACCAAGUUCCUCACCAUCCAAGUAGAUAUUGCCUCACUCAUUGAGUAUUUCAAGCAAUUUCUGUUUUUACACAAUGAGGGUGAGUUGGACACAAGAUCAGACCAAUCCAGUGAUGUCCUCCAUCUUAUUUAAGUAAUACUAUUAGCUUCUGGAAUUGUUCUGAAGCAUCUCUAACCAAUACAGUGAGUGACUCUCAGCAUGGGUGAGCGCCCACACUCAACCUCCUCAACACUGACCUUCACAUUGGACACUUAACCGCGGCUUUAUACCUGAGAAACAGACCAUCUCCACUCAAAUUCCUAGACUGUUGCCGCAUACA